rnacentral:lncRNA from 1 species
CAUUAUAAACUAACUAAAAAAAAAAAUGUACAACACGAUAUUGAUUCGAGUUUCUUGAGGUCUUCUAUGGUGCUGUGAAAUUGGAUGGGCUUUUGUACCUGACCUCCACCGAUGGUUACUCCUCUGGCGAUCGCCGGCCUCAAGUGAGUUAACAUACUUGUCUAAUUGAUUCGAUACGUUGAUUGAAUCCCUUUGAAUAAGCUGAUAUUCUGGAAGUUGGUUCAUCAGUUGACAGUUUUGGUAAUAUGCUAACGUGUUUUCUCAAGAUACUAUCGUCUUUGGUUCUAAUUGAUAGUAAAUUAAUGAUUCCCUUAUUUUGGACUGGAAGAAAUUUGAUCAAGAAAAAAAGAAAGUUAUUGAUGAUUGCAGCAUGGAAGAAAAAUAUAAUAAUGGUGGAAGAACUCACAGCAUUUUAUCCAUUGCAUUGGGUGUUUGAUGGAUACUUCUUUUCAGGUUCCAGGUUCACUCAUCGUUUCCGGGCCUCUUUGAACAGGACCUUGUCACAGUGUACCCUUUCUUACAGGAAUGCUAAAUAUGGCUGAGCAAUAGGGUUGGACGGGCAAUGACACAGGAAAACUCGAAAAGUUAUUAAAGAAGAUGAUUGACGAAAAUGACCCUGAAUGCAAUUUGGAUACAUCAAAUUAGACGAGGUCUUGAUGACAUUGUAUGAUUGUAAAAUCAUAUAGUUUUUACUGGCUUCUCCUUUCAUCUAAUCUUUGUCACUGUCUGAGGUAGCGAGUCGUGCAAAGCUUAGUUCUCCUCCCUUGGAUACCACUUGGAACUUAAACUAAUUUGUGUUUAAAAGUCUCUUUCAUAUAUCUAUUGACAAGUCCAUAUCCCACUCCUGGAGGAAUAAUUCUGAGGGCGUGGUUGAGGGGGGACGUGCAUCUAACAGAUCACACAUCGCCUCCAAUGCAAUUAAGACAAACUGUCCCAUGGCAGAUUGUGUUAGGACUGUGAAGGAACUCCAACAGUGCACAGUGAGUGAGAAUGAGAAGUGUCAGCAAGCAGUUGAGGCAUGACUCUUUCAUGCCCUUACAGGAAACAGAAUUGAUUAUCGACUCUCUUCGACACAGAAAAAUGAUGAAUCGUCCAUUGGUUCAGAUAUGCAAGGUGGUGCUCAAUUUGGCAGUUAUGGUUGCAACACACAAAUUGUAUUGCUCAAGGAAUGCCUUGAACAAAGUGCAUUGCUCAAGGAAUGCCUUGAACAAAGUGCAUUGCUCAAGGAAUGCCUCAACUCUUGUAACACAAGGUCCAGAGAAGAAUCCCAAGUUGCCGUGACACCCAUUUUUUAUUAGAAAAUUCGAUCUGGUAUCUACUUUUGUAGUUCAAAUUGUAGAGC